GGGGCAUUAGCUCAGUUGGAUAGAGCGCUAGUCUCCGGAACUAGAGGUCGCAGGUUCGAAUCCUGUAUGUCCCACCA
rnacentral:tRNA from 1 species